rnacentral:rRNA from 1 species
UUGAACGCUGGCGGCAUGCCUUACACAUGCAAGUCGAACGGCAGCACGGGUGCUUGCACCUGGUGGCGAGUGGCGAACGGGUGAGUAAUACAUCGGAACAUGUCCUGUAGUGGGGGAUAGCCCGGCGAAAGCCGGAUUAAUACCGCAUACGAUCUACGGAUGAAAGCGGGGGACCUUCGGGCCUCGCGCUAUAGGGUUGGCCGAUGGCUGAUUAGCUAGUUGGUGGGGUAAAGGCCUACCAAGGCGACGAUCAGUAGCUGGUCUGAGAGGACGACCAGCCACACUGGGACUGAGACACGGCCCAGACUCCUACGGGAGGCAGCAGUGGGGAAUUUUGGACAAUGGGCGAAAGCCUGAUCCAGCAAUGCCGCGUGUGUGAAGAAGGCCUUCGGGUUGUAAAGCACUUUUGUCCGGAAAGAAAUCCUUGGCUCUAAUACAGUCGGGGGAUGACGGUACCGGAAGAAUAAGCACCGGCUAACUACGUGCCAGCAGCCGCGGUAAUACGUAGGGUGCGAGCGUUAAUCGGAAUUACUGGGCGUAAAGCGUGCGCAGGCGGUUUGCUAAGACCGAUGUGAAAUCCCCGGGCUCAACCUGGGAACUGCAUUGGUGACUGGCAGGCUAGAGUAUGGCAGAGGGGGGUAGAAUUCCACGUGUAGCAGUGAAAUGCGUAGAGAUGUGGAGGAAUACCGAUGGCGAAGGCAGCCCCCUGGGCCAAUACUGACGCUCAUGCACGAAAGCGUGGGGAGCAAACAGGAUUAGAUACCCUGGUAGUCCACGCCCUAAACGAUGUCAACUAGUUGUUGGGGAUUCAUUUCCUUAGUAACGUAGCUAACGCGUGAAGUUGACCGCCUGGGGAGUACGGUCGCAAGAUUAAAACUCAAAGGAAUUGACGGGGACCCGCACAAGCGGUGGAUGAUGUGGAUUAAUUCGAUGCAACGCGAAAAACCUUACCUACCCUUGACAUGGUCGGAAUCCUGCUGAGAGGCGGGAGUGCUCGAAAGAGAACCGGCGCACAGGUGCUGCAUGGCUGUCGUCAGCUCGUGUCGUGAGAUGUUGGGUUAAGCCCCGCAACGAGCGCAACCCUUGUCCUUAGUUGCUACGCAAGAGCACUCUAAGGAGACUGCCGGUGACAAACCGGAGGAAGGUGGGGAUGACGUCAAGUCCUCAUGGCCCUUAUGGGUAGGGCUUCACACGUCAUACAAUGGUCGGAACAGAGGGUUGCCAACCCGCGAGGGGGAGCUAAUCCCAGAAAACCGAUCGUAGUCCGGAUUGCACUCUGCAACUCGAGUGCAUGAAGCUGGAAUCGCUAGUAAUCGCGGAUCAGCAUGCCACGGUGAAUACGUUCCCGGGUCUUGUACACACCGCCCGUC